AUGGAGUUCUAUUUUUUGCAACCAAAAAGUAUCCUCAUAAAGUGUGUUUCUUCCCAGAGGGGAGUCGAUUUGCUCUAUCAUUCACGAUUUGCUGUAAUAGGCCUGGCGCACAGUGCUGACAUGCAUUCUGAGAACGAGGCAGCCUAUCUUUAUGGAGAACACGUUGACAUCCAGAUUGCUCAGCUGAAUACUUUUCUAAACAUGCUGUUAGGGGGACUCACCCCUGGUGAUCAUCAGGAUAUCAUGACAAUGUGCACAAUUGAUGGACAUGCGAGGGACGUGGUGGCCAUGCUCAGAGCAGAGAAGCUCAUCAUGGCAAAGAAAACCAAGAGAAUGCUGAAGGAAGAAAACAGAUUUUUUAGUAAGGAUUGGGAAUUGCAAUAUUAUCUUGUUUCUGCUAAAGAUAAGAUGAUUUGCUUGCUUUGUGAUACGGCAAUAUCAACAUUAAAGAAAUUCAAUGCUUAUCAGCAUUAUAACACUCAUAAGAACCAGAGCUAUUUUAAAUUACAGGGAUAGGCGCAAAAGGCUGUAUUGCAGAAAUUGAAAGAUGGAAAGCAAAAGCAAAGACAGUUCUUUCAAACAGUAAUAAGACCUGGAAAUAAUGCCACUGAAGCAACUCAUAAAGUAGCUCAUAUGUUUGAGAAAUAAGGGAAGCCAUUCAAUGAUGUAGAAAUUGUGAAAGAAUGCAUUGUCGAAGUUAUAAGAUGCUUAGAUGCAUACAAUGUUUCAAAGUACAAACAACUGCCUCUUUCAAGAAGAACCACAACUGAUUAGCAGCAUGAAUUAGCCUUCAACUUACCAGAAAAACUUCAUGUAAUACUUCAAAAGAAAAUAUAUAUUAUUCAAUCACUUUGGAUGAGUCAACUGAUACUACUGACUAGAUGCAGGUUUUAUGCUUCAUUUGGAUCAUAGCAGAUUUUCUGUGCUAUGGAAAGUUACUUGCUUUGAGCACUUUUGUAAACAGAACAUUGGAAAUAGAUAUCUUCAACAACUUUCAAGAUAAAUGUCGUGAAGUUGGACUGAAUUUGGUAAAUUUAGUGAGUGUAUGUACAGAUGGUGCACCUUCCAUGAUAGAAAAACGUGAAGGGCUUAUUGCACAGAUAAAAAAAGUAUUAACAGAUCCAGAUGCUCUCAUUUCUUGUCAUUGUAUCUUGCAUCAGCAAAAUCUCUGUGUUAAAGCUACUAUUUUAAGUGACACUUUGUAACAAGUUGUAAGUAUUGUUAAUUAUAUUUGCGCAAAUGCAACAUGGCAUUGUCAGUCUCAUAACAUGCUGAAGUUAGACGAGGUAUUCAGCAUGGAUUUGCCAUAUCAUUCUAAAGUGGAUUGGCUAUUGUAGGGACAGGUGUUAGCCAAAAUUUUUUAUCUGACAGAACAGAGUUAAGUUUUAUGAAGAACAGAAUCAGCAAUGUGAAUUAUUGAAAGAAGAUUUCUAUAGGAAUGCAGCAUUUCUGUGUGACAUCAUGUCCAAUCAAAAUGGCUUGAAUAUUUCUUUGCAAGGUAAAACUAAGUCUAUAUAUGAUAUGUGGCAAAAAUUCCAAGCAUUUUGAAAACAGAUAGCUUUUUUCAAAACAGUUCUUCUUCAAAAGGAAAUUUCAGAUGAACAUUUUCCCCGGUUAGUAAAGGCCAUUGAUGAAUAGGAUGAUAUAGCAAAUCAUUUGAAGAAUGCACAGUUAUUACAGACCUAUUAAUUGGAAAAGUUCACUGACUUUGAGAAUCAUGACAUCACACUCAAAUUAGCAUUUCAGCCUCACCUCGUUGAUAUCACCAAGGCACCUAAAGAACCAUAGGUGGAAUUGAUUGAGCUCUCAGUAGAUGACAUUUUAAAGUCAUUGAUGUUAAGAAAGAUCCAAUUAAAAUAUGGAAAAAUGCAGUAGAAUACCCAUGCCUUCAGCAACAUGCCCCCAAAAUGCUUUCUUGCUUUUCAACCACUUAUUGCUGCAAAUCUACAUUCUCCUAACUAACCCAAAUCAAGAUGCCCUUAAAGUCACAAAUGACUGAUACCCAUCCCGAGGAUCAGCUGAAACCGUGGACCUCUGUGCUACAACCAAAGAUUCAAAUGCUUUCCAACAAAAAGCAGACACAACAAAGUCAUUACAAGGCUAGUUAACUUUAAAAUGAACAAAUAGUUUUCAUUUUUGAAAUUAUUGAGUAUACAGUUAGAUUUUUACAAAAUAAUGUACAUUUUUAAAUAUAUCUAUUUGAAGUUUCUUGAAUACGGCCUUAUUUGAUUACAGCUAAAUUAAUGUGACCUUCCAGCAUUAAAAGGUUCUCCAACCCUGCCCUAGUCCCCCGUGUGGCCCCCUCAGAUCCCUUCCUGGGAUUCCUCAGUUGGUUCCCUAACCCAGCAGCCAAAAGACGGACACCUGCCCCAGCUGGGCUGGCUUCCAUUCCCGUUGGCGGGUGUCUGGGACACACUGCUUUUCACCCCUGCCUUGAUUGCUCUUGGGAUUCAACCUGGGAACCUUGGGAAUACUCAAAAGCAGCGUGUGGAAGAUGGUGUGGGGGAUGGGGCAGAAAAUUGGUAAGAAAUGCAUUUCCCCGGUCCCCUGAACCUGAGCGAGGAAAGCACCUCCUGCCCACUCCAGCCACACCACUGUCGGGAUUAUCUAUGAGUGGGGAUUCCAUCAGACCCUCCCAGUCUCAGCGCCUUCCUAGUGCCCAGAGUGGGGUCUCCAAACCUUUCUGAGCACGUGCCCUCAUCGUAUACAUUUAUUUAUGUAUGAAUGAUAUACAGCUACUAUUGUAUUGCUGUGUUAUAUAGGAUAUAAAUAUACAAGAACAGACCUAAAACAGAUAAGAUUAACAACAAUAGACACAUUAAUAUUUUCUUUCCAUGCCCCCAGGGGAUUGAUUUGAACAUGACCCAUUGGAAAUGAGUGGCCCGGAACCAUUAAGAACCCCCAAAUCAUCAGGGGAUCUUGUUAAAAUGCAGAUUCUGAAUCAGCCUGGCUGGGGUGGGGCCUAGAGAUUCUGCUCCAACAGCGCUCAGGUGACCCAGUUUUUUGUGGCCAUGAAAUGUUCUUUAUAGUUAUGCUUCUGUGCAUUUGUCCUUGUCUUCUGAGACUUGUACAAAUAAUCCUUGAGUUUUUUCUUUUUUGACUUUUGGAACUUUUUCUAAGCUAAGUGAUAAAUGUUUUCCUGGCACUAACUUCUCCGAGAACAACCACUUAGAUUUUGCAACACCCUUAAUAAAGAAUUAAUCGAGUACAUUUUUUUGACUGGCGUAAUUUAUUUAGUUAGAAUUUUUGAAGAAAGUAAUUUUUAUUUGUG
ensembl:lincRNA